rnacentral:lncRNA from 1 species
AACUGAUGUUUCAUCUACUCAGGUUCAAAAUCUUUCGCAAGCCAAUAUAAGAAAGGGAAACUUAUAAGACAUAUAAUGACGACUAACGAACUAAAAUAGUUUGUGUUCCUAGCUAUAUAACAUGUCUGAAGUUUUCAUUUGAUAGUUGUACCAAAGUCUUUCAACUAAACUGAUGUUUGAUCCAUCCAUCCGUUCUCAGGAUUACAAG